rnacentral:rRNA from 1 species
GACAGAGGGUGCAAACGUUGCUCGGAAUUACUGGGCGUAAAGCGCGUGUAGGCGGACCACCAAGUCGGACGUGAAAGCCCUGAGCUCAACUCAGGAACUGCAUCCGAAACUGGCGGUCUGGAGUGGUGGAGAGGAAAGCAGAAUUCCUGGUGUAGAGGUGAAAUUCGUAGAUAUCAGGAGGAACACCGGUGGCGAAGGCGGGUCUCUGGGCCGAUACUGACGCUGAGGAGCGAAAGCGUGGGGAGCGAACAGG